GCAUAAUUAGUGUUGUUUAAUAUUUUGAUUGUAGCAACUUCAGCCAUAAUGAUUUAACUCUUGAGUCACUAAAUAAUAGUCAACAUGUUUACACCAUGCAAUAUAAAUUACUAGAGGCUCUUCAACCAUUCCAAGCUACUAAUGCGUGAAUCACCAAUUUUCAAACCUAUGGCUCUGAUACUAUGUAAAGCCACAAACAUUGAAAUAUUUGCUCUAAUACCAUAUAGAGCGGUACGCUACUUGUAGUAGAUUGAUCAUGCCGGCC
rnacentral:lncRNA from 1 species